AAGUCGUAACAAGGUUUCCGUAGGUGAACCUGCGGAAGGAUCAUUAACACGUAUCCACGUAUAAACCUUUGUGAACUGUGUCCCUUUGGAACGCGGUGGUCGUUUUGGGCCGUGGUGCCGAGCUUACGACCGGAAACAUUCGUUUCAGCCUAGUUCUGAAGUGGUUGACUUCACCACAAUUUAUUACUAUAAACAUCGUAAAUUACUGAACUGAAUUGAAUCAGUUGGCUUCGGCGAACUGACUUCUCGAUUAUUAAACCAAACAAUUCUUAACAACGGAUAUCUUGGUUCCC
rnacentral:misc_RNA from 1 species